AGUAGCCAAUAAGAAGUAAUCUGCAAAUCAAAAAAUCUGAACUGAAAAUCUAAAAACCAAAUUGGAGAUAUAAACAAAUGCAAGAAGAGAACUACCUCUUAUAACAGAUGAUCAAAACCUUCAAGCUAGAUCAAAAUCCAACCCCUCUGGUUUAUCCUAAAUUCCACAUCAUACAGUCAUUUCAAUCAUCUUAAGGGCUUGUUUAAAUCAUUAAUUAGUUCAAUUAUAGAGUUAUCCUAAUUAAUCCUAAAAUCCUAAGUUGACAUGCAUCAUGAAUUUGGGGAAAAGCUAAUAAUGCUACUCUAUUAAGUGAGAGUUUACCUAAUGGAAAUCACCUGAUUUAAUAGCAGUACGGCGUUAUUCCGCAAGCUUAAAACCAUCUGUUUGUGCCGCUUGAGUACUCAAACCCGUAGUCCUCAAAACAUCAUUUUCACAGUUUCAAUACCUCAACUUCAUAAGCGUCCCCAGACUUCAUUUCCUAACCAAAAAUUAUGAAAUUAGAGUCACAACUACCUAAAUUGAGUUAGCUAACCACAGAAACAAACGACAUUUCAAUUGGAGUUAGGAGGAGUGAGAAUUUACCUUUUUAGUGGAGCUUUAUCUUAGAACACAAGUUUAACCCAAACUUCUUCAAAAAUCACCGAUCAAAAUUCCAAAGCUUCCAUCUUGUACCCAUGUUCAUUGCUUCUGAUAUAUUCCCAGAAUAUCUCAAAUCCAUUAAACUCACAUGCAAUUUACCAAAUUAAGGUUUUAACUUGAAUGGAGGAAGGAAAAGGGGUUUAUGAUUCUUACCUAUAACUUCUCUGUAAAACUUGAACACCAUCAGAACCUCCUGUAAUAUCCCAACUUUAAUUAAUAAAAGAAUAUUAAUUAGAGAUAAGUAUUAGAGACUAGCUGGAAAUAAGUGGAAGGGCGAGAUAGUAAUUAAACAUGAAAUAAGUACUUGAGUAAUUCACACCAUUCAUUUCUUUCAUUCUGUAAAGUCAGAAAGAAAAUCACAAGAGAUGUGGCUCUCGUUUCUCUCACACCUAAGAACACCACCAUCUCCACUCUACUCAUGAAACCCAAUCCCUCAUUUUCUCUCAUCUCUGUUCGCCAUUCCUUCCUCGUUCAUUCAAACAAAAUCAUCACUUUCCAUUAAUUGGACACAUUCAAGCUUGCAUACCACAACUUCAACCCUUUAUGAGAAAUUGGGAUUUUACUAUCUUGAAUUGGAUUUUGGUAACUUUGCAUGUGAGGAAUUCUGCCAUGAAUUAAGUGAUUGGGUGGCCAGGAAGAAAUUUAAGGUAAUAAUCAUCAAGCUCUCAUCUAUUCCUCUGAUGUUUUGUUUAGGUAUGUUAUGAAAACUCACUAAUUUACAUUUUGGAGCACUUGCAUGUGAAUUUCUUGUGGUCAAGGAAUCAUGGGUUGUGAUUGGAGCUGUAAUCUUGUGUUUAAAAUAUGCUACUGGUUGGAUUUUGAAGAAACAGAGGAGUUAGAAUAAAUAAAAGAAAAGAAGGAAUUGGAUUGGUAAUGUAAGAAAAACUUUCUGCACUUUUGAGUCUGGACCUGUCUUCAGUAAUCGAGUCAUAGCUGACAAACCGUAAAUCCGUUUUGAAUAAGACUUACAUGUCUGGAAAGGCGACGAAAUUCCGGUCGUCUCGGUGCCAACUACGUAUAAUUUGGAUCAAUAUUGAGGGCUGGGGACGCCUUUGAAGUUGGAGCUCUGAUGCAGAAUUAUGCAGAAAAUUCUGAUUAUGGGUUUAUAGCAUUUCACUUGCAAAUUAUGCGUUUCGGCGAGCUCUGGAAGUGUCGCUGGUAUUGUUCAAGCUUCUUUUCAGAUAAGCAGGUUGAUCGCGAUGUCGUGGUCAGCAAGCAUGAAGACCCAGAUAUGUGGAGUACGAUUUGGAGCUGACGUUAUGUUUAUCUUAUAUCUUGUAUAAGAUUCAGUUUAUUUAUGUUUAGUUGUUGGCUCAAAUUUGUAUUCACUUCUUGGAUUUUAUAAUCCUAUUCAUGUGUUUAUGUAAUGAAAAUUUAAUGUUUUCCGAUUCAGUUA